GACAGAGGUGCCAAGCGUUAGGCGGAAUCACUGGGCUUAAAGCGUGUGUAGGCGGAACGUUAAGUGCCUUGUGAAAUCCCACGGCUCAACCGUGGAACUGCUGGGCAUACUGGCGUUCUUGAGCCAGCCAGGGGUCGUCGGAACAAACGGUGGAGCGGUGAAAUGCGUAGAUAUCAGGAGGAAUACCGAUGGCGAAGGCAGGUCUCUGGGCUGACACUGACGCUCAUGCACGAAAGCGUGGGGAGCAAACAGG
rnacentral:rRNA from 1 species